CGGGAAGCUCGUUAGAAACAAACGACCGUUGCGCGCUCGCGAUCGUGCGCGCGCAGGAGCGUCUGUUUGCUAGCUGAGAGGAAACAUGAUGCUACCGUUCCCACAAACUUUCAGGACCCAUGAAGUUCUCCAGAGAACGUUAUAAGCAAGCAGUGCGCUCGCGUGACGCUCAUUGAGGCCGGGGACGGUUUAGUUUAGAGCACGUCAGGAAUCCGCUCCAGGGCCCGUGGGUUGUGGAUUAUUCUGGUUGUUCGCGGCCUUGGGUCAAACUACCGCCGCAAGUGUGACAGACGAGACGCAAGGGAUAACGUCGCUUUCUUCACGUCAACGAGGAGCCGGUGGUGUCAGACGCCUGCAGCUGAUGCGCCUCCUUCACAUCACCGCGUUAGCGGUGCUGCUCGGUAGAACGUUGUUCUGCUGCACGUUCAUGCUGCGUCCAGCAGGAACAGCAGGAACAGCAUCACUGUUAUGGAUGAUCCUGAGCUCCUGCAGGAACGCGUCCGGAGCCGCCGUCUCCGUGGAGACGAGAUGCUCUGCAGGGAAGCGUCUAUGAAGCUGAGAUCCAAACCUGCCUGGGAGCGUCUUACACUUUUCACAGCCUAUUAGAUUUAGCGCAAUGAAUUUUUUAAGAACCCGUCCAAUAAAAUAUGUAUAAAGUACA
rnacentral:lncRNA from 1 species